rnacentral:rRNA from 1 species
CAGUAGCCACGGUAAAACGAAGGGUGCAAGCGUUAAUCGGAAUUACUGGGCGUAAAGCGUGCGUAGGCGGUGAGUUAAGUCUGCUGUGAAAUCCCCGGGCUCAACCUGGGAAUGGCAGUGGAUACUGGCUCGCUAGAGUGUGUCAGAGGAUGGUGGAAUUCCCGGUGUAGCGGUGAAAUGCGUAGAGAUCGGGAGGAACAUCAGUGGCGAAGGCGGCCAUCUGGGACAACACUGACGCUGAGGCACGAAAGCGUGGGAAGCAAACAGGAUUAGAUACCCGAGUAGUCCCUGUCUCUUAUAC